UGUGACAUGAGGAAAGCUGACUUAGCAGA
rnacentral:piRNA from 1 species